rnacentral:rRNA from 1 species
GACAGAGGGUGCAAACGUUGUUCGGAAUUACUGGGCGUAAAGCGCGUGUAGGCGGUGCGGUAAGUCGGGUGUGAAAGCCCUGGGCUCAACCCAGGAAGUGCAUUCGAUACUACCGUACUAGAGUCCCGGAGAGGUUGGUGGAACUCUCGGUGUAGAGGUGAAAUUCGUAGAUAUCGAGAAGAACACCGGUGGCGAAGGCGGCCAACUGGACGGUGACUGACGCUGAGACGCGAAAGCGUUGGGGAGCA